GCUAGGCAGAACGCCUAGUUUACACAGUGGGAGAAUGAGGAUAGGCCUCUGCCUACGGUACCUUCGAAUACAGGGAAAGUGGGAAGAGUGAGCUGCCGAAGUGAAAGAGGCUUACGCAUUUUUUCUUUGGGAAGCGGACGCAGGACGAAGCUCAUCAUUUUCGAAAAAAAAAAAGAAAGUUGGAGCUGGAAAGGAAUUGGGUGUUGAAAAAAUGUACGGGUGAACAAAGUCUUAUUUUGUCUUAAAAGGGGUUCCCCC
rnacentral:sRNA from 1 species